UACGGAGGGUGCAAACGUUGCUCGGAAUCAUUGGGCGUAAAGCGCACGUAGGCGGACCGCUAAGUCGGAUGUGAAAGCCCUCGGCUUAACCGAGGAAGUGCAUUCGAAACUGACGGUCUUGAGUAUGGAAGAGGGUCGCGGAAUUCCCGGUGUAGAGGUGAAAUUCGUAGAUAUCGGGAGGAACACCAGUGGCGAAGGCGGCGACCUGGGCCAAUGCUGACGCUGAGGUGCGAAAGCGUGGGGAGCAAACAGG
rnacentral:rRNA from 1 species